AAUUGACGGGACCCGCACAAGCGGUGGAUGAUGUGGUUUAAUUCGAUGCAACGCGAAAAACCUUACCCACCUUUGACAUGUACGGAAUCCUUUAGAGAUAGAGGAGUGCUCGAAAGAGAACCGUAACACAGGUGCUGCAUGGCUGUCGUCAGCUCGUGUCGUGAGAUGUUGGGUUAAGUCCCGCAACGAGCGCAACCCUUGUCAUUAGUUGCUACAUUCAGUUGGGCACUCUAAUGAGACUGCCGGUGACAAACCGGAGGAAGGUGGGGAUGACGUCAAGUCCUCAUGGCCCUUAUAGGUGGGGCUACACACGUCAUACAAUGGAUGGUACAAAGGGUCGCCAACCCGCGAGGGGGAGCCAAUCCCAUAAAGCCAUUCGUAGUCCGGAUCGCAGUCUGCAACUCGACUGCGUGAAGUCGGAAUCGCUAGUAAUCGUGGAUCAGAAUGUCACGGUGAAUACGUUCCCGGGUCUU
rnacentral:rRNA from 1 species